rfam:Populus trichocarpa scaffold_7_contig_164, whole genome shotgun sequence.
UAAUCCGUCUAUAACAAAUAUUUAUCUAAUUAUGACAGGCUCAGACCUAACUAUGUAGAAUCAUUCAUUAUCAUAACCCUAUCUACAACAGUAACACGAAAGAGGAAGGAUGUGUUUUGCAUUUGCCC